AACGCUCGCGGCAGGCUUACACAUGCAAGUCGAGCGCCCCGCAGGGGAGCGGCAGACGGGUGAGUAACGCGUGGGAACGUACCUUUUGCUACGGAAUAACUGAGGGAAACUUGUGCUAAUACCGUAUGUGCCCUUCGGGGGAAAGAUUUAUCGGCAAAGGAUCGGCCCGCGUUGGAUUAGCUAGUUGGUGAGGUAAAGGCUCACCAAGGCGACAUCCAUAGCUGGUCUGAGAGGAUGAUCAGCCACACUGGGACUGAGACACGGCCCAACUCCUACGGGAGGCAACACUGGGGAAUAUUGGACAAUGGGCGCAAGCCUGAUCCAGCCAUGCCGCGUGAGUGAUGAAGGCCCUAGGGUUGUAAAGCUCUUUCACCGGUUAAGAUAAUGACGUCACCGGAAAAAGCCCCGGCUAACUUCGUGCCAGCAGCCGCGGUAAUACAAAGGGGGCUAGCGUUGUUCGGAUUUACUGGGCGUAAAGCGCACGUAGGCAGACUUUUAAGUCAGGGGUGAAAUCCCGGGGCUCAACCCCGAACUGCCUUUGAUACUGGAAGUCUUGAGUAUGGUAGAGGUGAGUGGA
rnacentral:rRNA from 1 species